rnacentral:rRNA from 1 species
GACGAACGCUGGCGGCGUGCCUAAUACAUGCAAGUAGAACGCACAGUUUAUACCGUAGCUUACUACACCAUAGACUGUGAGUUGCGAACGGGUGAGUAACGCGUAGGUAACCUGCCUGGUAGCGGGGGAUAACUAUUGGAAACGAUAGCUAAUACCGCAUAAUAUUGAUUAUUGCAUGAUAAUUGAUUGAAAGAUGCUAUUGCAUCACUACCAGAUGGACCUGCGUUGUAUUAGCUAGUAGGUGAGGUAACGGCUCACCUAGGCGACGAUACAUAGCCGACCUGAGAGGGUGAUCGGCCACACUGGGACUGAGACACGGCCCAGACUCCUACGGGAGGCAGCAGUAGGGAAUCUUCGGCAAUGGACGAAAGUCUGACCGAGCAACGCCGCGUGAGUGAAGAAGGUUUUCGGAUCGGAAAGCUCUGUUGUAAGAGAAGAACGGGUGUGAGAGUGGAAAGUUCACACUGUGACGGUAUCUUACCAGAAAGGGACGGCUAACUACGUG